AUGAAGGUGGAGGUGGUGGACACGACGCUGGUGACGCCGAGCGAGCCGACGCCGCGGCACACGCUGUGGCUCUCCAACCUCGACCUCGCCGUGCCCAAGACGCACACGCCGCUCGUCUACUACUACCCGGCGCCCCCCGCCGGCGACGGCGGCGAGAAGCAGGAAGAGUUCUUCGCGCCGGAGAGGCUGCGGGAGGCGCUGGCGAGGGCGCUGGUGCCGUUCUACCCGCUGGCAGGGCGGAUGGCGACGGGCCCCGAGGGCCGGCUCGAGAUCGACUGCAACGGCGAGGGCGCGCUGUUCGUCGUCGCGCGGGCCGACUUCACCGGCGACGAGAUGUUCCGGGACUUCGAGCCCUCCCCGGAGGCGCGCCGCCUGCUCGUCCCCUUCGCCGCCUCCGGCGACCCGCCCUGCCUCCUCGCCAUGGUCCAGGUGACGUUCCUCAAGUGCGGCGGCGUGGCCGUGGGCACGGGCAUGCACCACGUGACCAUGGACGGCGCGGGCGCGAUCCAGUUCAUCCGGACGUGGACGACCCUGGCGCGCGGCCUGGACGCCGCGUCCGUGCACCCGUCCCCGCCGGUGCACGACCGCACGGUGCUGCGCGCGCGCUCUCCCCCGCAUGCCACCUUCGAGCACCCGGUCUACUCCCCGAGCAACCUCAACGGCCUGCCCCGCCCCUUCGUCACCCGCGUCUACGCCGUGUCCCCCAAGCUCCUCGCCGGCAUCAAGUCCAGCUGCGCGCCCGGCGUGUCCACCUACUGCGCGCUCACCGCGCACCUGUGGCGCGCCAUGUGCGUGGCCCGCGGGCUGGCCCCCGACGCCGAGUCGCGGCUGCGCGUGCCGGCCAACAUCCGGCAGCGCCUGCGCCCGCAGCUGCCGGCCAACUACUUCGGCAACGCCAUCGUGCGGGACCUGGUGACGGUGCGCGUCGGCGACGUGCUGUCGCAGCCGCUGGGGUUCGUGGCGGAGCGGAUCAAGCGCGCGGUGGCGCGGGUGGACGACGCCUUCGUGCGCUCCGUCAUCGACUACCUGGAGGUGGAGUCGGAGAAGGGCAGCCAGGCGGCGCGCGGGCAGUUCAUGCCGGAGACGGACCUGUGGGUGGUGAGCUGGCUGGGCAUGCCCAUCCACGACGCCGACUUCGGCUGGGGCUGCCCCAAGUUCGUGGCGCCGGCGCAGAUGUUCGGCAGCGGCACGGCCUACGUCACGCAGGCGCCCGACAAGGACGACGGCGUGUCCGUGCUGUUCGCGCUCGAGCCAGAGUACCUGCAGUGCUUCGAGAAGGCCUUCUACGGGGAGUGA
rnacentral:rRNA from 1 species